UAUAGAGCAGGUCUAGACCGUACUCUCAGGAGUGGGCGGCCAUCCACUGCUGCCAGUUGGGUUUUUACAGAAAUAUAAUUAUGACAUAUUCAAUGCACAGCCCUGCCAAUGGUUUCACACCAUUCCAUUGACCUACAGGUGGCGGUAAUGUGCCAUGAACCACAGCAAUGCGCCAAUAAAAGGCAGGGAAGAAGAAAACUGCUAGCUAGCAAACAUUAAGGUAAACAAUACAGGGGGGAAAUCGGCUUUGCAAGUGUUUUAUAAGGAAGGAAAUGCAUUAAACACAUUUGUCAGACAACAACGAUACAUACAAUGUGUUUUGCUCCCCGGGCUUCCCCCUGCUGCUGAUCACCGGCGCACCUGUCAUCAAUCAUCAUCAGUCUCCACAGCAUAAAGACCGGGAUCUUCCUCAUCUCCAGUGACAGAUUGUCUCUGUAUACCUACAUCCCUCUCGCCGGUCAUCACAGCCAUGUCACCUCAUGGAUCUCUGCCAACCUGUUCGCCCGUCCUGUUCCUGCUCAGUCAGCUAACCAGCGGUCUCCCAGCUCCUCCGGUGAAAACCCCGUGCCACUCGGAGCCAACUUACGCCAUUCUACAGAGCCGUUGCCGGCCUCACAUCGCCAACCUCCGUUCUUGGUUCCGUGCAGUUCCGUCCAGGAGUGAGUUCACCACUUUCCCAAGAGCUGUAGUGGACAGCUCUGAUUGCCCCCUCGAGAAAAGACUAUCUUUUGCACUAACAUCUGUGUGAAUAAAUACUAACUUAUCUCCUCA